UGGGGAAUCUUGCGCAAUGGCCGAAAGGCUGACGCAGCGACGCCGCGUGCGGGAGGACGCCCUUCGGGGUGUAAACCGCUGUUGCCCGGGACGAACGCCCCGUUUCGACGGGGGUGACGGUACCGGGUGAGGAAGCACCGGCUAACUCCGUGCCAGCAGCCGCGGUAAUACGGAGGGUGCGAGCGUUGUCCGGAAUCACUGGGCGUAAAGGGCGCGUAGGCGGUCUGGCAAGCGUGCGGGUGAAAGCCCGGGGCUCAACCCCGGGUCGGCCGUGCGGACUACCAGGCUUGAGCACUGUAGAGGCAGGUGGAAUUCCGGGUGUAGCGGUGGAAUGCGUAGAGGUCCGGAAGAACACCGGUGGCGAAGGCGGCCUGCUGGGCAGUGGCUGACGCUGAGGCGCGACAGCGUGGGGAGCAAACAGGAUUAGAUACCCUGGUAGUCCACGCCGUAAACGAUGGGCACUAGAUGCUUGGGGGAGCGACCCUCCGAGUGUCGGCGCUAACGCAUUAAGUGCCCCGCCUGGGGAGUACGGCCGCAA
rnacentral:rRNA from 1 species